GACGGGGAGCACCACAACGGGUGGAGCUUGCGGUUUAAUUGGAUUCAACGCCGGAAAUCUUACCGGACCGACAGCAAUAUGAAGGCCAGGCUGAAGACUUUGCCGGAUUAGCUGAGAGGCGGUGCAUGGCCGUCGUCAGUUCGUACUGUGAAGCAUCCUGUUAAGUCAGGCAACGAGCGAGACCCACGCCCACAGUUGCCAGCGUACUCUCUGGAGUGACGGGUACACUGUGGGACCGCCGCUGCUAAAGCGGAGGAAGGAAUGGGCAACGGUAGGUCAGUAUGCCCCGAAUAUCCCGGGCUACACGCGAGCUACAAUGGUUGGUACAAUGGGUAUCUACCCCGAAAGGGGACGGGAAUCUCCUAAAACCAAUCUUAGUUCGGAUUGAGGGCUGCAACUCGCCCUCAUGAAGCUGGAAUCCGUAGUAAUCGCGUUUCAACAGAACGCGGUGAAUACGUCCCUGCUCCUU
rnacentral:rRNA from 1 species